rnacentral:tRNA from 1 species
UGCUUUUAUAGUUGAAGUACAACGAUGGUUUUUCGUACCAUUAGUUAUGGUUGGAGUCCAUGUGAAAGCGA